GUGAAAGACAGUGCUUACACUUUUAGUCUUCUGGAAUUGGCUUAUGGAUGAGUUACUCAAAUGACCAAGCAUUGCAGUACUCAUGGAUUCAGAGGAAUUAAAAUGCUUACUUAGUGUGCUUGAUUACAAAGCAUUAAAUGUGUUUUCCGUAUCUUUGUUCCUGUUUUCAUGUCACAUAAAUUUUUUAGGCAUUAUUAUUUUUCUGUUCCCUCUUGCUGAUUAUAGGGCUGUGUUUCUGAUCAUUCUCAACAUAUUCGACCGUUAUCCGUUUAAAAUUUCUUUGUGCAUGUUUGUUGCAUACUUGCAUGUUAAAUGUAGAAGCAUUUUUUUUCCUGUUGUUUUCAUAAACGUCUGUUAAGGGACUAGCUAAAACAACAUUGGGAAGUUUUUUUUUUUCCCUUGCACUUUUAUAUUGGCUUCUACCAUCAUAUCUGUGGAAUCCUUGCUGGACAUGAGCUGAGGUUUCUAGUGCCAAGCUUUAUAAAUUUACCAUUCAAGUGUGUUUGGAAUAUGCAUGAUGUUACUGGAUGAGGUGAGCUUAGCUUAUAUAUGAUAUUUUUAGAUCCCUUUGUAGUGGGUCUCACAAUUCAUUAGUUUUUUCUUGAAUUCGUUAAAGCAUAACUUCACAAUUUUUCUUUAAAAGUUUAAUUUACAUGUGUUGACUGGUUCUUUCACUAAAUACAUAAUUUUUAUUUUGCAACAAAGCCAUUCUUGUUGGAGAGCUCUCUAAUUGGGAUUUGGCAUUUUUCUGCAGAAAGUCGACAAGCAGAGCACUAG
rnacentral:misc_RNA from 1 species